rnacentral:rRNA from 1 species
GCAGCGCAGCUACACAUGCAAGUCGAGCGGCAGCACGGGUACUUGUACCUGGUGGCGAGCGGCGGACGGGUGAGAAAUGCCUAGGAAUCUGCCUGGUAGUGGGGGAUAACGCUCGGAAACGGACGCUAAUACCGCAUACGUCCUACGGGGAGAAAGCAGGGGACCUUCGGGCCUUGCGCUAUCAGAUGAGCCUAGGUCGGAUUAGCUAGUUGGUGAGGUAAUGGCUCACCAAGGCGACGAUCCGUAACUGGUCUGAGAGGAUGAUCAGUCACACUGGAACUGAGACACGGUCCAGACUCCUACGGGAGGCAGCAGUGGGGAAUAUUGGACAAUGGGCGAAAGCCUGAUCCAGCCAUGCCGCGUGUGUGAAAAAGGUCUUCGGAUUGUAAAGCACUUUAAGUUGGGAGGGAGGGGCAGUUACCUAAUACGUGAUUGUUUUGACGUUCCCGACAGAAUAAGCACCGGCUAACUCUGUGCCAGCAGCCGCGGUAAUACAGAGGGGUGCAAGCGUUAAUCGGAUUUACUGGGGCGUAAAGCGCGCGUAGGUGUUUUGUUAAGUUGGAUGUGAAAUCCCCGGGCUCCACCUGGGAACUGCAUCCAAAACUGGCAAGCUAGAGUAUGGUAGAGGGUGGUGGA